GAGGGAUAUUGGUCAAUGGGGGCAACCCUGAACCAGCGACGCCGCGUGGGUGAUGAAGGUCUUCGGAUCGUAAAACCCUUUCUAGGUGACGAGACAAGGACGGUAGCCUAGGAAGAAGUCUCGGCUAACUACGUGCCAGCAGCCGCGGUAAAACGUAGGAGGCAAGCGUUAUCCGGAGUUACUGGGCGUAAAGCGCAUGUAGGCGGUUGGGUAAGUGGCGUGUGAAAGCUCCCGGCUAAACUGGGAGACGACAGGUCAGACUGCCGAACUCGAGUCCGAUAGAGGGGCGUAGAAUUCCGGGUGUAGCGGUGAAAUGUGUAGAGAUCCGGAGGAAUACCAGUGGCGCAAGCGGCGCCCUGGGUCGGGACUGACGCUGAGAUGCGAAAGCGUGGGGAGCGAACGGGAUUAGAGACCCCGGUAGUCCACGCCGUAAACGAUGCGAACUGGGUGUUCACUCACCGACAGGUGAGGGAGUGCCGAAGCUAACGCGCUAAGUUCGCCGCCUGGGGAGUACGGUCGCAAGACUA
rnacentral:rRNA from 1 species